rnacentral:tRNA from 1 species
GCUAACGUAGCUUAACCCAAAGCAUAACACUGAAGAUGUUAAGAUGGACCCUGAGAAGUCCCGUGAGCA